GCUAGCUGUAUGUAUGUAAUCAGCCAACCCCCAUAUUACAGGUGCCCGGUCCAGAGCAGUAUUAAAGGGCCAUGGUCCCUGAUAACUUCAGGUGCCGCAGCGGGCCCAUGGGGCAGCUGCCUUAGGCCCCCCAGGAGUAACUAGUUGCCCCUCCUUAAGGACAGCCCUGGCCAUACGGUCUCAAAGGCAUCAUAGGCCCAACAAACCAAUCUGG